UACGUAGGGUGCAAGCGUUGUCCGGAAUUAUUGGGCGUAAAGAGCGUGUAGGCGGCCUUACAGGUCAGCUGUGAAAACUCGAGGCUCAACCUCGAGAGGUCGGUUGAAACCGUAAGGCUAGAGUCCGGAAGAGGAGAGUGGAAUUCCCGGUGUAGCGGUGAAAUGCGCAGAUAUCGGGAAGAACACCCGUGGCGAAGCGGCAUCCUGGACCGGCAUGACGCUGAGGCGCGAAAGCUAGGGAGCAAACGGG
rnacentral:rRNA from 1 species